ACGAACGCUGGCGGCGUGCCUAAUACAUGCAAGUUGAGCGAUGAAGAUUGGUGCUUGCACCCAUUUGAAGAGCAGCGAGCGGGUGAGUAACGCGUGGGGAAUCUGCCUUUGAGCGGGGGACAACAUUUGGAAACGAAUGCUAAUACCGCAUAACAACUUUAAACAUAAGUUUUAAGUUUGAAAGAUGCAAUUGCAUCACUCAAAGAUGAUCCCGCGUUGUAUUAGCUAGUUGGUGAGGUAAAGGCUCACCAAGGCGAUGAUACAUAGCCGACCUGAGAGGGUGAUCGGCCACAUUGGGACUGAGACACGGCCCAAACUCCUACGGGAGGCAGCAGUAGGGAAUCUUCGGCAAUGGACGAAAGUCUGACCGAGCAACGCCGCGUGAGUGAAGAAGGUUUUCGGAUCGUAAAACUCUGUUGGUAGAGAAGAACGUUGGUGAGAGUGGAAAGCUCAUCAAGUGACGGUAACUACCCAGAAAGGGACGGCUAACUACGUG
rnacentral:rRNA from 1 species